CACCGCGAGGUGGAAUCUGAAGGAAGCCGGAUGGCAGGGGGAAACGAUCAACCCUGACGGGCAAAGUCCCGAGCCGACGAACAGAAACUGCAUACGAAGGCGUGGCAGAGCGGACGAGGCUGCAACCCAAGUCGAAGUCCCAUACUACCCGGACUCUGUCACGUAAAUGCAGCGGCUGCAUGGGAUGAAGGCUAUU
rnacentral:ncRNA from 1 species